UACGAAGGGUGCAAGCGUUAAUCGGAAUUACUGGGCGUAAAGCGUGCGCAGGCGGCUUACUAAGACAGGUGUGAAAGCCCCGAGCUUAACUUGGGAAUGGCGCUUGUGACUGGUAGGCUGGAGUGUGGCAGAGGGAGGUGGAAUUCCACGUGUAGCAGUGAAAUGCGUAGAGAUGUGGAGGAACACCGAUGGCGAAGGCAGCCUCCUGGGCCAGCACUGACGCUCAUGCACGAAAGCGUGGGGAGCAAACAGG
rnacentral:rRNA from 1 species